AUGAAAGACCUUGUGCACCAACUCCUACAAGGGGCGUCUCCACGGGAAUGGUUUCUCUUUCUCUUCUUCCUCUUUGUGCUCGUGCUUGUACACUACUCGGUGACUAGGUUCGCUGUAAAGAGAGCAGACAGGCAGCAGGUAAACCGCCGUCUCCCACCUUCACCCAUGGCGCUGCCCAUCAUCGGCCAUCUCCACCUUGUCGGCUCCCUACCGCACGUCUGCCUACGUGAUCUUGCCAGGAAGCAUGGCCCCGACCUCAUGCUCCUCCAGUUCGGCACAGUGCCUACUCUCAUCGUGUCGUCACCGCAUGCUGCUGAGGCGGUGUUGCGCACGCACGACCACAUCUUUGCAUCGCGGCCACACUCCGUUGUCGCCGAUAUCAUGAUGUAUGGGAUGGAUGUUGGCUUCGCCCCGUACGGUGAGUACUGGCGGCAGACAAGAAAGCUCGUCACCACCCACCUUUUGAGUAUCAAAAAGGUGCAUAAAGAUAGAGGCUGGACAGGAUACUACAGUUCACAUUUGCGCAUCGUGUGGCAACGUCCAGAGCAGACUUUUGGUAACCGAUGA
rnacentral:rRNA from 1 species